AGGGACAGUCACGGAAGCAGUGUGUGUGGAGAGUGAGGAGGAGAUGUCGGCUCAGCCGCAGUGAGGAGCCUUUCAGGAGCCAGGAGGUGCAAAAACUGGAGACAUUCGUCCAAGAAGCGGAAUUAACGGUCAAUUGGCAGAGAGCUCAUUUCCUCAUAGAGAAGCCCUCCGAGCUUCACAGACGGAUAUCUCCAUGAACCCUGGUCUUAUCGACAAGCAGGAUCAGUCCAGAACUGCCAGAAUGGGAAGAAACUGCCACAAGAGUUUCCAUGGAGGCCGUCUCCUGUCAGGUUCAGCCUCUGAUAACCACUGUGCUAAGACACCCGUUGAUGUGCUAGCAGAGCACCAACAGCGGGAGAUCCGGGGACCGGGGGAUACGGCUGCUCCCCUGGCAACCAGGACAACAGCGGGAUUGGUUGCUGUAGCAACAGCAUGAUGUCCAUGGUGUGUGUCCCGCCACGCCGGCUGGAGGUCUGGGCGUUUACACGUGGGUCUGGUGAUCGGACUGUUACACUGGUAUUAGUAGGCAGCAUGCAGUGGAGAGGAGCUCGGCCAAGGAUUCAGCCUGCUGGGAUGGAAUGUGGAUCAGCAGCGGAACUUUACACCGGUGUCAGGAGGCACAAUCACCCAACUAGACCACCCCCCACUCCACGGUGAAAUAUUCAUCUGUUUCGUUCCUCUGGUGGAACUCUAUUCCUGUCUCAAUGGGGCAGGGCUGCAGGGUGUAAAUGGCCGCAAGCAGCCUCUCUAAUGCUACAGGCAGAGCAUGAACCAGGACUACAAAGUAAGAUGGUGGUAUUCCUUCCCCUCACUCGGAGCCCCUGCAUCUGGAGGUGAAUGUUUCUGUGGUCUCUGGGAGUUACGCCACUUAUUUGGAUAUUUUACGUUAUGUCCCCUUAUGGGUUUACCUUCUCCUUAAGAGUUGUGACAAGGUUGAACUGUGCAGUGUGUUUUGAUUAUUUGUUCGAAUUUUGCAAAAACACCAGAAUUAAAUUACUUUUGGGAGGAGCCCAGUUUUCUUGAAACAUUCUGCACUGAUAUGCAGGAUAUCUUACAUUCUGUAACUAAACAAUGUACAGGUUUAUAGAAAUCUGCUGUCAUCAGAGGGGAAGGGAGUUAUUUCCUGUUCUAUUUUCAAAGUCAUAGGGCGAGUCUGAAUGACUUCAUUUCUGAACCAGUGAUUACAUACAGUAGUUCAGUGGUUCUCUAACUGUGUGCCGUGGCACCCCAGUCACUUGCAGGGGUGCCUCAGGGUGGUGGUGCAGGACCAAUUAAAAACUAUUUAUUGUCAGUGUAAAUGGCAAAACUAAUGCUUGUGGCUGCCAUUCAUAAAAUAUGUGGAUAAACAGGAGCAAAUCUUGUCUAUCACCACACAAAUGAACCUAAGGAUGACAUAUAAACAUAAUUUACUUCAUUUAAUAUUUUUUUUACAU